UACGUAGGGUGCAAGCGUUGUCCGGAAUUAUUGGGCGUAAAGAGCUCGUAGGCGGUUCGUCGCGUCGGCUGUGAAAUCCCGAGGCUCAACCUCGGGUCUGCAGUCGAUACGGGCGGACUGGAGUACUGCAGGGGAGACUGGAAUUCCUGGUGUAGCGGUGAAAUGCGCAGAUAUCAGGAGGAACACCGAUGGCGAAGGCGGGUCUCUGGGCAUGUCCUGACGCUGAGGAGCGAAAGUGUGGGGAGCGAACAGG
rnacentral:rRNA from 1 species